UACGGAGGAUGCGAGCGUUAUCCGGAUUUAUUGGGUUUAAAGGGUGCGCAGGCGGAAUAUCAAGUCAGCGGUAAAAUGUCGGGGCUCAACCCCGGCCGGCCGUUGAAACUGGCGUGCUCGAGUUGGAGAGAAGUAUGCGGAAUUCGUGGUGUAGCGGUGAAAUGCAUAGAUAUCACGAAGAACCCCGAUUGCGCAGGCAGCUUGCUAAUCCGCAUCUGACGCUGAUGCACGAAAGCGUGGGUAGCGAACAGG
rnacentral:rRNA from 1 species